rnacentral:rRNA from 1 species
UACGGAGGGUGCAAGCGUUAUCCGGAUUCACUGGGUUUAAAGGGAGCGCAGGCGGAUUGGUAAGUCAGUGGUGAAAGGCUUAAGCUUAACUUGGGAACUGCCAUUGAUACUAUCAGUCUUGAAUGUUGUUGAGGUUUGCGGAAUGGGUCAUGUAGCGGUGAAAUGCAUAGAUAAUGACCCGGAACACCUAUUGCGAAGGCAGCAGGCUAAACAAAUAUUGACGCUGAGGCUCGAAAAGCGUGGGGAGUC